rnacentral:ribozyme from 2 species
CCGGUAAUGCGGCAAGCCAGUUGCAAGCCUGGCGGCGGACGCAGAGCAACGG